rnacentral:rRNA from 1 species
UCAGAAGUGCGAAUGCUGACAUAAGUAACGAUAAAGCGGGUGAAAAGCCCGCUCGCCGGAAGACCAAGGGUUCCUGUCCAACGUUAAUCGGGGCAGGGUGAGUCGACCCCUAAGGCGAGGCCGAAAGGCGUAGUCGAUGGGAAACAGGUUAAUAUUCCUGUACUUGGUGUUACUGCGAAGGGGGGACGGAGAAGGCUAUGUUGGCCGGGCGACGGUUGUCCCGGUUUAAGCGUGUAGGCUGGUUUUCCAGGCAAAUCCGGAAAAUCAAGGCUGAGGCGUGAUGACGAGGCACUACGGUGCUGAAGCAACAAAUGCCCUGCUUCCAGGAAAAGCCUCUAAGCAUCAGGUAACAUCAAAUCGUACCCCAAACCGACACAGGUGGUCAGGUAGAGAAUACCAAGGCGCUUGAGAGAACUCGGGUGAAGGAACUAGGCAAAAUGGUGCCGUAACU